CUAUUUUAGAAUCAAAAUCCUAACUCCAACCCUAGCUCAAUUUCCCCAAUUUGACUACAUUGACUCGCGUUCUGCGUUCCUUUCUCUCGCCAUUGUCCUGGAAGGUUCUUUCGAGUGGAUGCGCCAGCUCCAUGGAGGCUUGCUUGGGUGGCGUGUGUGAGUUUCAUGGUUGAUUGCGGAGGCGCGUUGGUCUCCGAUCUCUCCCAGACAAACACUUGGAUGGCGUUCAGAAUCAAAAUCAUGAAUAACCCUAAAUCCCUAAUUCCUAAUCCCAUCCCUAACACAAUUUCCCCAAUUUCACAACACUGAUGCGCGCAUUCUGCGUUUCUCUCUGCUCUGCCAAGUUCUGCUCUACUCCACCGUGUUCUUCUACUCUGCCGUGUUCUUCUCCUCGCAUCGAGUUCUGCUUUGCUCCACCAUGUUCUUCUGCUCGCGCCGAGAAAUUUCAUGUAACUCAAUUAGAUUACAGAAAUGCUAUCUGCAGAUAAAUGUGAGGCAGAGUUGUUAAGCAAGAAAUAUGAGGAGAAGUACAAACAUUGUAGCGGAAAUAACAUCCAAAUUGAUUGUUGAAGAAGCUAAAUUUCGUGAUAUACAGGUAAUUAGAAAUUUGCAUUAUUAUUUGGCAAAUAGUAAAAGGAUUUUAGGGAAGAAUGAAUUGUUAUUAGCCUUGCUUAAUGGAUAUAAAAGUAAUUAUAAAGGUAAGAAGAAUGAGAUUUUGCAGCAGGAAGGGAGAGAAAAAAAGGAUUUUUCUGUGGUCUGAGGUUCUUCUUGUGAGCAUUUUGCUCCUACUUAAUUGGUCUACUUAAAGAGCUUUUGUUUUUAGUAAUUGACUGUGUGGGAUUGGCUUGGUUUUUUCUAGUUUUGAAAUUUUGG